rnacentral:rRNA from 1 species
UAAGAAUAUUCCGCAAUGGACGGAAGUCUGACGGAGCGACGCCGCGUGGAUGAAGAAGGCCGAAAGGUUGUAAAGUUCUUUUGCUAGGGGAGAAUAAGUGUGGGAGGGAAUGCCUGCACGAUGACAAGGACUAGCGAAUAAGUCCCGGCCAACUACGUGCCAGCAGCCGCGGUAACACGUAGGGGGCGAGCGUUGUUCGGAAUUACUGGGCGUAAAGGGCAUGUAGGCGGCUUGGUAAGCCUGGCGUGAAAGUCUGCAGCUUAACUGUAGGGAUGCGUUGGGAACUGCUUAGCUUGAGUUACGGAGAGGGAGCUGGAAUUCCUGGUGUAGGGGUGAAAUCUGUAGAUAUCAGGAAGAACACCGAUGGCGAAGGCAAGCUUCUGGCCGACAACUGACGCUGAGGUGCGAAAGUGUGGGGAUCAAAC